AAAUAAGAACAAACAUUCACCUAAACAAAAAAUAAAUAUAUCUCACAGCAACGAAGACCAGAAAAGAAAAUCCUUUCCUUCACCCUUAGAAAGCCUCUGCAUAUUAUACUAGAUGGUAUUUAUUUGCACUGGCAGUGCAGACACUGAGCUCCAGAGAAACAGUAGUAAAUAAAAACAAUAAUCAGUGAACUGCAAAAGAGUCUUUUUUCUUUAUUUGAAGCGAUAUUCACAUGAACAAAUAUUUGAAAAAAAAAAUGUAUGCUGUGCCUCAGACAAUAGUUAUAACUGAAGAAAUCUUUGGACUAAUGGAUGAAUAUUAUCUUGACUGUACAGAAGAAUGAGACAGCUACUUCAGUAAAAUAUUCAAGAUGUGUUUUGUGAAUGCACAAAAUGGAUCCCUGUGGAGAUGGAGAAUGGGAUGAAGGCAAAUCAGAAAGACUGAUUAUGCUGAAACCAGCACUACAAAAAGGGAUGCUUGAAAGGACAAGUGCCAUACAUUAUCUGCUCCUCUUGGAAUCACCUUGGCCACAGGGAGAGGAGACUUUGAAUUUGUCUACAUCAGCAUGA
rnacentral:lncRNA from 1 species